AACGUAGGAGACAAACGUUAUCCGGAGUUACUGGGCGUAAAGGGCGUGUAGGUGGUAGUGUAAGUCUGGCGUGAAAUUUUUCGGCUUAACCGGGAAAGGUCGUCGGAUACUGCACAACUAGAGGAUGGUAGAGGCGUGUGGAAUUCCGGGUGUAGUGGUGAAAUGCGUAGAGAUCCGGAGGAACACCAGUGGCGAAGGCGACACGCUGGGCCGUACCUGACACUGAUGCGCGACAGCAUGGGGAGCAAACAGG
rnacentral:rRNA from 1 species